GAUGAACGCUGGCGGCGUGCCUAAUACAUGCAAGUCGAGCGAACAGACGAGGAGCUUGCUCCUCUGACGUUAGCGGCGGACGGGUGAGUAACACGUGGAUAACCUGCCUAUAAGACUGGGAUAACUUCGGGAAACCGGAGCUAAUACCGGAUAAUAUAUUGAACCGCAUGGUUCAAUAGUGAAAGACGGUUUUGCUGUCACUUAUAGAUGGAUCCGCGCCGGAUUAGCUAGUUGGUAAGGUAACGGCUUACCAAGGCAACGAUGCGUAGCCGACCUGAGAGGGUGAUCAGCCACACUGGAACUGAGACACGGUCCAGACUCCUACGGGAGGCAGCAGUGGGGAAUAUUCCGCAAUGGGCGAAAGCCUGAUGGAGCAACGCCGCGUGAGUGAUGAAGGUCUUCGGGUCGUAAAACUCUGUUGUUAGGGAAGAACAAAUGUAUAAGUAACUAUGCACGUCUUGACGGUACCUAAUCAGAAAGCCACGGCUAACUACGUG
rnacentral:rRNA from 1 species